UAGGGAAUCUUCGGCAAUGGACGAAAGUCUGACCGAGCAACGCCGCGUGAGUGAAGAAGGUUUUCGGAUCGUAAAACUCUGUUGUUAGAGAAGAACAAGGACGUUAGUAACGGAACGUCCCCUGACGGUAUCUAACCAGAAAGCCACGGCUAACUACGUGCCAGCAGCCGCGGUAAUACGUAGGUGGCAAGCGUUGUCCGGAUUUAUUGGGCGUAAAGCGAGCGCAGGCGGUUUCUUAAGUCUGAUGUGAAAGCCCCCGGCUCAACCGGGGAGGGUCAUUUGAAACUGGGAGACUUGAGUGCAGAAGAGGAGAGUGGAAUUCCAUGUGGAGCGGUGAAAUGCGUAGAUAUAUGGAGGAACACCAGUGGCGAAGGCGGAUCUCUGGUCUGUAACUGACGCUGAGGCUCGAAAGCGUGGGGAGCAAACAGG
rnacentral:rRNA from 1 species